rnacentral:rRNA from 1 species
AGGACGAACGCUGGCGGCGUGCUUAACACAUGCAAGUCGAACGAGGUGCUUGCACCUAGUGGCGAACGGGUGAGUAACACGUGAGCAACCUGCCCUUGGCUCUGGGAUAGCCUCCGGAAACGGGGAUUAAUACCGGACAUUCACUUUUUCCUGCAUGGGGGAGGGUGGAAAGUUUUUCGGCCAGGGAUGGGCUCGCGGCCUAUCAGCUUGUUGGGGGGGUAACGCCCACCAAGGCGACGACGGGUAGCCGGCCUGAGAGGGCGACCGGCCACACUGGGACUGAGACACGGCCCAGACUCCUACGGGAGGCAGCAGUGGGGAAUAUUGCGCAAUGGGGGAAACCCUGACGCAGCGACGCCGCGUGCGGGAUGAAGGCCUUCGGGUUGUAAACCGCUUUCACCGGGGACGAAGCGAGAGUGACGGUACCUGGGGAAGAAGCGCCGGCUAACUACGUGCCAGCAGCCGC